GACGAACGCUGGCGGCGUGCUUAACACAUGCAAGUCGAACGGAAAGGCCCUGCAUUUGUGGGGUGCUCGAGUGGCGAACGGGUGAGUAACACGUGAGUAACCUGCCCCUGACUUUGGGAUAACUUCAGGAAACUGGGGCUAAUACCGGAUAGGAGCUCCUGCAGCACGGUGGGGGUUGGAAAGUUUCGGCGGUUGGGUAUGGACGCGAGGCUUAUCAGCUUGUUGGUGGGGUAGUGGCUUACCAAGGCGUCGACGGGUAGCCGGCCUGGGAGGGUGACCGGCCACAUUGGGACUGGGGUACGGCCCAGACGCCUACGGGAGGCAGCAGUGAGGAAUAGUGCACGAUGGGCGGAAGCCUGAUGCAGCAACGCCGCGUGCGAGAUGACGGCCGUCGGGGUGUAAACCGCGUGCGCCUGUGACGAAGCGUGAGUGACGGUAAUGGGUAAAGAAGCACCGGCUAACUACGUG
rnacentral:rRNA from 1 species